CUGAUUAGUUCUGUUCUGUACAUUCAUUUUCUCUUGGAAGUUGUCCAUUCCCCUACAGACUUCUCUUAACUGUAUUUGUAUUUCUUGUAUGCCUGCAUUUCCCUCUCAAAAGUGAUGGGGAGGGAAAAUGUUAUUUUUGAUGAAUGCCUAUAAUUGAUUUAAUGACGUAUUUUCAAUUAUUUGCUACUGCAGUCUUUCUGUUUACCUUGUACUUCACUACUGACGAAAAUGUAGUAGGUAUUGUUAGUGAUGUCUCCAAUUAAUUCAAAGUCUUUCUUCCCUCACUUACAGGAGAUUUACAAUCACUAAUUAUCUAUUCAGUAUACACAAUGCUUUUGUCAUAGAAUGACAGCAGUCACUGUGUUUUAUCUCUCCUUUUGACAUUCUCUCAGUGUUUUUUUUAGGCUUGAGCAACCUAAAUAUUCUGCUGUCUGCAAAUGCUGCCACUUGAAUUCUGUUGUUAAAUAGUGAAUGUACAGAUUCUGCUGUGACAUCUUCAAUUGAGGCAUCUAGUUUUCAAACCAGACUUUUCUUCCUGUUUAUUGUGUUACUAUCCUUAUUUACAUGGGCAAGAAAUGGCCCCAACAAAUGGCAAAUGAUGUAAUUAGUUCAAGAUGAAACAAUGUAAUCCUUUGAAGGUGGAAUCAAUUGGCAAAUCAGGAGCCAGCUCUGUGAACUGGAGUAGAUGGGAAGAAUGCCACCCGUUUGAAAAUGAGCGACACCAGACUCUGAAUCUACUGUCACAACUGGGAGUUGUGGGGAGAACAGCUGUGACCUGGCCACAGCAGCUGGAGUCAGCUUUAUAAUGAACUUGUGGGAGGAAGCAGAGGUGGGAAGAACAUGGUGCCAUACAGUGGGUGAGUU
rnacentral:lncRNA from 1 species